GCAAGUGUGGCAUAGUGGUUUGAGUGUUGGACUGUGACUCUGCAGAUGAGGGUUUGAAUCCCCUCUCAAACA